GGGGACGUUACGGAUUCGACAGGAAUGUUUCGAGCUUGAGUUGCGAGCCGGAGGGAUCGACUCCGUCACAAACGUCAACACAAAUAGUUAACAACAAACAAGAUUUCGCUCUAGCUGCCUAAUAAGCACUUGAGGCCUCACUUGUCUAUCGCUCAUGUAGACCUGUCCUGAGGUUCAUUCUGAAGUGAGCUACGCAGUCGGCCACCACCUGAGGUCGCCUGAAGAGAACAAUCAGGUUAGCCACUCGGACGCCUGUCUGUCGGCAUAAGAGCUGGCGAAUUGCGAAUAGACUGACUACGCUCGUAGAUGCUUAAGUAUUGGAGUUUCUGGACGUGGGUUCGACUCCCACCGUCUCCACCA
rnacentral:tmRNA from 1 species